AACUCGGUUAUCGAGUGUUUGGUUGGGCGUUCCUUCCCACCCCGCGGUACUGGCAUUUUAAAGCGUCGUCAACUGAUUUCACAACUAAUUCAUUGUCCACUGGACGGAAGAAAUAGGCAAACAACAACAGCAACUUCAGCAACAGCACAACAUGGGUCUAGUGCGCAGGACCUGCCUAAUGGGAACCAUUACGAAAGAUGGUCCUGGCUUUGGUUUAGAUCUGGCGAGUAUGAAACCACAUCACCAACUGAAAUGGGCCAUACCAGAGUGCACUAAAUAUUAGAAAAAACGCUGCCGUUAUAGUACCAUUGGAGCGCAACGCAAUAAAUAUCGUUUUUUGAGGAUUGCUAAUCCAUUGGAAAUGGUGGGUAAUAGAGCUGGAAAACUAUCGAUAGUAUGGAUGGUUUGUGACUAUCGAAAACAUCGAUGGUAUUGUAAGCACUAUCGAUAGGUUUCACUCAUACAUAUAUUAUUCACUAAGAGAAAAAACCGGCGGUACCUGCUUUAUCUUGUGAGUCGGAAGGGACAUUUAGCAAAGCAGGGCAAAUAAUUUUAGAACGCAGAUACUGCUUGAAGCCAAAACUCGUUAAUAAACUUCUUUCCUCUAACACAAAUAUGGAAACAUUUUAGCUAUUCUAAUCUCAUUUUCAAUAAAAGUUUUUAUGUCUAAU